rnacentral:lncRNA from 1 species
UUUAUUCUUAAUUUUUUUCUGAAUGCUCCCAGGCUGAAGAGAGAUAUGAAGAAGACCUGGUUAUUUCAGGAGCUUACCAGAUCUUUUUUAUGUGGUUGCUGAAGCAUUGCCCUGGGACAGCAGUAAUGAUGGAUGGAGGAACAGAACACAUUUCAGGAUUGAGUCACAGAGAAAUGUGAGCAUUUACACUUCUGAAGUAGGUGUGAAUGGGACUGAAGGAAUUACAUGGAGGAUUCUGAACUCCCCUUCUUCCUGCUCCGGGAAAGACGGGUGAGUGUAUUAUGAAAUAGUUUAUAAUUAACUCAGUCCUUGCUUCAG